rnacentral:rRNA from 1 species
CCUACGGGAGGCAGCAGUGGGGAAUAUUGGACAAUGGGCGAAAGCCUGAUCCAGCCAUGCCGCGUGUGUGAAGAAGGCCUUCGGGUUGUAAAGCACUUUCAGUGGGGAAGAAAGCCUUGGGGCUAAUACCCUCGAGGAAGGACAUCACCCACAGAAGAAGCACCGGCUAACUCCGUGCCAGCAGCCGCGGUAAUACGGAGGGUGCGAGCGUUAAUCGGAAUUACUGGGCGUAAAGCGCGCGUAGGCGGUCUGAUAAGCCGGUUGUGAAAGCCCCGGGCUCAACCUGGGAACGGCAUCCGGAACUGUCAGGCUAGAGUGCAGGAGGGGAAGGUAGAAUUCCCGGGGUAGCGGUGAAAUGCGUAGAGAUCGGGAGGAAUACCAGUGGCGAAGGCGGCCUUCUGGACUGACACUGACGCUGAGGUGCGAAAGCGUGGGUAGCAAACAGGAUUAGAUACCCGGUAGUC